UCCACUGCCCAUACCGAUAAUCAAGUUGCUUGUGGAAACUCCCAUUCCCUGGCCCUGACUAAAGGAGGCGAUGUCUUCUCGUGGGGUUUUAAACAGUCAUGGUCAGCUGGGCCUGGGGAAGGAGGUGCCGGUGCAGCAUACACCCGUCAUAAUUUGUGCUUUGGCUGGAGUAGCAGUAACCCAGAUUGCAGCAGGAGGGACCCACAGUCUGUUCCUCACCCUCGCAGACCUGGUGUACUGCUGUGGGGCCAAUAAA